rnacentral:rRNA from 1 species
ACGCUCGACCCUACGGAGGCAGCAGUGGGGAAUAUUGCACAAUGGGGGAAACCCGUCGAUGCAGCGACGCCGCGUGGAGGAAGAAGGUCUUCGGAUUGUAAACUCCUGUUGUUGGGGAAAAAGAGGAUGGUACCCAACAAGGAAGUGACGGCUAACUACGUGCCAGUAGCCGCGGUAAUCUGAGCGGGCUGGCAAGGC